UUGACGCCGCCUCCCGAGUCCCAGCGAAGGAGCCGGGAUGAUGUCACCCGCAGCCAAUCAAAAGUCUCUUCGGGAGGCUCGCGGAAGAAGACGCGGCGCUGCUGGAGGCGCUUUAACGUGGAGCAAACAUGGAGGUCCAGCAUGAGAACAGAAGGGGACAAUGGCGGUGUGCCCGCAGAGGACAUUCAAGUAUAGGCAAAUUGGACGCGCAGAUUAGGAGUUCGACGAUGUCUUUAUUGGCGCAGGGUCACGUGACGCUGAAGACAUUUUGACAUGUCAGCAAGGAGAAGCACAGGAAUAUCGUUAAGCAAGUGCCAAGCUGGCAGGCUGGACAGUCCCACAUGACGGGAGGACCCAUGCUGCGCUGAAAGGUUCUCGGUGGCUUCAAACCCCAAAUAUAAUCUGAGAUCUCUAUUUGUCCCCUUUGGCAAAACGAAACAAUGCGGGGCAUGUAUCAUUGCCUCUCAUUAGCCCCGCAGCUAUUUAUAAAAGGACGCAGCUGAUCAAAGCCUAUUCCCAUUGGAUUCCCAGCUUCUCCUGUUCCACUUGUGAUUAAGGGUAAAUGAACAACAACGAGACCCAACGUUUGCGGUUGGUUUCGUUUUUUUUCACUCAGGAUCACUUUAAUCGGUGUGUUUUAAUCACUUUAAUUGGUGUGUUACCACAGUUUUGCACUCGGCUAUUUUCAUUUUUGCUUUGACUCCUGCUACAUUUCAGAUGGAAGUGUUGUACUGCACUAUACAUUCUCUGAUAGAUGUGAUUACUUUUGUAAUUAAAAGAUACUACACACCACUAAUGAUUAAGCCCAACUAUUUCACAGUAAAAGCAUCACAAAGUAUCAAAAACGUAUUUUUCCUUCUUCCCUCUUAAAUGGAUAAGUUGAGAACAACUGGAAGUUGAAAAAGUAAUAGCUUCGCCUUCACCAUCCACAACAGUGGGAUGCUGCUCACAUUGAUGCAUCACUUCUAACCAUGUGAAAUAAAUGCGUUGGUGUAGAGUCGUUUAAAACGAGAAGCACAUGAGCUCUGUCGACAGUUCAAACAUUGGAUGCAGCAGGACCUGAGCAGUUAUGUAAAUUCAACCGGUUCCACCUGCCUGGUUUCAUUUGGACAAACAUUUGUCAAGUGGUCCUCAAAAUAUUCUCUCUAGCUGGUAUCAAAGAUUCUACAUUUAAUGAGAGAGGUUUUUUUCAGUUUAGGCAUGUAUUAAAGAAGGUGAGAGGGGUCACCACAAAACCAGUUAUUGGUAAUUGUUAUUUCCUGGAAGUCAGGCUGUUUCGUGGAAGCACUCAGUUGUAAUUCAACUGUGGGUAAAAAAAGAUUUUCUGACCCUAACCGUAGCCAGAGAGAACGAAAAGUCGGUGGUGAGAUUGUAACUUGAACAAAGGCCAUGUUCAUCUCUAACCAUUAGCAGCUGCUUUAAGCAUGAAUAACCACGUCUAAUGCUGCUUUAAUCGCUAAACGGUACAUUUUAGGGGUUUUAUGUUGGAAAUGAUAGAUAGGAGAUAGGUUGCUGAUAUAGAGUUACAGAGCAUGCCUUGGUUAAAAAAUGUAAAUACAUUUUUGUUAUGAUUUGAUAAUUAUGUUCAACGAGCCACAAUGUCUAAACAGAUGUUUUAAUUUGUUAAAAUGUUUGGGAGGUAUUUUGUACAAUGAGCUGUCCGUACAUGUCAGAGUGGGGAAACAUAAGUACCUCUUUUCGAAAUGUGAUGUUUAAUUUCUUUUGGUGAUAUUGCUCUAAAACUACAUUGUCUCCUCAUUCUGUUUCACUGGAAACUGGGAGCAGGUCAGACUUUAUGAGUCUUAUUUCACUUUGAAUGCUUUUUUGUGAGAUCUGCUUCCUUCAUAAAUGUCAGCCGAUGGAAAACAUGA